UAAGGAAUAUUGGACAAUGGAGGCAACUCUGAUCCAGCCAUGCCGCGUGAAGGAAUAAGGCCCUAUGGGUUGUAAACUUCUUUUAGACGGGACAAAACCCCUUUACGUGUAAAGGGUUGAUGGUACUGUCAGAAUAAGCAUCGGCUAACUUCGUGCCAGCAGCCGCGGUAAUACGAAGGAUGCAAGCGUUAUCCGGAAUUAUUGGGAUUAAAGGGUGCGUAGGCGGACUAAUAAGUCAGUGGUGAAAGCCUGCAGCUUAACUGCAGAAUUGCCAUUGAUACUGUUAGUCUUGAGUACAGUUGAGGUAGGCGGAAUGUGUCAUGUAGCGGUGAAAUGCUUAGAUAUGACACAGAACACCGAUUGCGAAGGCAGCUUGCUAAGCUGUAACUGACGCUGAGGCACGAAAGCGUGGGGAGCAAACA
rnacentral:rRNA from 1 species